rnacentral:rRNA from 1 species
AGAGUUUGAUUAUGGCUCAGGAUGAACGCUGGCGGCGUGCCUAAUACAUGCAAGUCGAGCGAACCACUUCGGUGGGAAGCGGCGAACGGGUGAGUAACACGUAGGUGAUCUGCCCAUCAGACGGGGACAACGAUUGGAAACGAUCGCUAAUACCGGAUAGGACGAAAGUUUAAAGAUGCUUCUGGCAUCACUGAUGGAUGAGCCUGCGGCGCAUUAGCUAGUUGGUGGGGUAAAGGCCUACCAAGGCGACGAUGCGUAGCCGACCUGAGAGGGUGAACGGCCACACUGGGACUGAGACACGGCCCAGACUCCUACGGGAGGCAGCAGUAGGGAAUCUUCGGCAAUGGGCGAAAGCCUGACCGAGCAACGCCGCGUGAAUGAAGAAGGCCUUCGGGUUGUAAAAUUCUGUUAUAAGGGAAGAAAGGUGAUAGGAGGAAAUGACUAUCAAUUGACGGUACCUUAUGAGAAAGCCACGGCUAACUACGUGCCAGCAGCCGCGGUAAUACGUAGGUGGCAAGCGUUAUCCGGAAUUAUUGGGCGUAAAGAGCGCGCAGGUGGUUAAUUAAGUCUGAUGUGAAAGCCCACGGCUUAACCGUGGAGGGUCAUUGGAAACUGGUUGACUUGAGUGCAGAAGAGGGAAGUGGAAUUCCAUGUGUAGCGGUGAAAUG